UCUAGAUUGGUCGUAGCUUUUCUUCCAAGGAGUAAGCAUCUUUUAAUUUCAUGGCUGCAGUCACCAUCUGCAGAGAUUUUAGAGCCCAAGAGAAUAAAGUCUCUCACUGUUUCCCCAUCUAUUUGCCAUGACGUGAUGGUUCCGGAUGCCAUGAUCUUAGUUUUCUGAAUGUUGAGUUUUAAGCUAACUUUUUCACUCUCCUCUUUCACUUUCCUCAAGAGACUCUUUGGUUCUUCACUUUCUGCCAUAAGGGCGGUGUCAUCUGAAUAUCUGAGGUUAUUGAUAUUUCACCCUGCAAUCUUGAUUCCAGCUUGUGCUUCAUCCAGUCCAGCAUUUCUCAUAGUUAUGACAGUUCUCCCAAAUAAUUGUUCAAAAUAAAUUCCAAUCUAGUCCCCACAUCUUGGCUGCAAACAAAGGGUUUUUUUUUCCUCCUUCUGUCUUUUUAUAUUUUCUGAAAUAUCACUGUACUUUUAAAAAUAGUUGUUCCUAAAUGAGUACUUUAUUAAUGAACCACAGAGGGAAAAUAGUAAGGUAAUUCAAGUCCUUUGUGAGCUGAAAUGUGUUUGGAACUGGGACUGUAUGUCUCUCUCUCUUUUUUUUUUUUUUUUAGUUAUGUUUGGUUGUGCUGGGUCUUUGUUGCUACAUGGGCUUUUUCUCUAGUUGCAGUGAGCUGGGGGCUACUCUUUGGUCACGGUGCACAGGCUUAUUGCAGUGGCUUCUCUUGUUGUGGAGCAUGGGCUCUAGGGCAUACCAGCUGCAUGCAGCAGCUGCGGCACAUAGGCUCACCCUGGGCUCUGGAGCACAGGCUCAAUAGUUGUGGUUCACAGGCUUAGUUGCUUCACAGCAUGUGGGAUCUUCCCAGGUCAGGGAUCAAACCUGAGUCUCCUGCAUUGGCAGGCGGAUUCUUCACCCAAUGAUCCGCCAGGAAAGCCCUGCAUCUCUCUUAAGUGAAUCCAAGGAGCAGACAUUUGUCCCCAAAUUUCCUCAGAAAGAGGAAGAGUUUCCCCAGAUGAGCUUCAGAGGGGAUGUCCCCCUGUGUACAGUCUUCAGGUCCCUGGAAAGAGUUUUGUAAAAGCCCAAACCAGCUUCCCAGGUGGCUCAGGUGGUAAAGAAUCUGCCUGCCAGUGCAGGAGCCAUAGGAGGCUAGGAUUCUAUGCCUGGGUUAGGAAGAUCCCCUGGAGGAGGAACCCACUCCAGUAUUCUUCCCAGGAUAAUCCCAUGAACAGAGAAGCCUGAUGGGCUACAGUCCAUGGAGUCGCAGAGUCAGACAUGACUGAGCAGGCAAGCAAAGCAAAGCAAGCUAAUAAGUAUAACCCAUAUAAACAGAAGCUCUUCAGAGUCCUCAAUAAUUUUGAUGGCACCUGAGACCAAAAAUUUUGAAAACUAUAAUAGCCUAUUUUUAAAUUAACUCUGGUGUCUCCUCAGCAGGAACAAGGCAGGGAAUGGGCAAAGUUUUCUGGCCACAUUGUAAGUUGCUGUAUACACAAUUUUGUUGAUCAUGG
ensembl:lncRNA